GUGUCGUGUCGUGAUGUUAAUUUAUCCACUGUACUAAUCAUCAACAAAACGGUAAACAAAAUUGCUAGCCUUGAUUUUCGAAUUUUGAAUAAAAGAAAAAUGUGCAUUUUUGUCUGAACUUGUCUGUAGUACCUACUAAGAAAAAAGCAAAGGAUUGUGUUGUAAUUACUAAGCAUUAGCAAUGCAACGCAACAAAAUUUCAAGUAAUCCCGCGUAUUCUUGUGAUAAUUGGUCGGAUUCAAACUGUAGCUCUUGUUCAGAUUCGGAAAGCUCUAUUCCCGAAUGGGAGUCUUGUGUUAAUCCAAGUGGCGAGUUACUUUUCAUUGAAUGUGAUCCUGUGGUUUCAUACUCGAGUAACCGUUUAGAUGCAGAAAACAACGAUUUCUCAACAAAAAAUGAGUUAAGGCACAGUACAAGGACAAAAUUUUUGAAAAUACUUAGGCGUAGAGACAGUAAACGGAGAAGUAAAAGAACUGUAAAGAAUUCUGAUCUAAUUUCCACUCAAGAUACAACAAAAGUGAAAUUUCAAGAUAAUGAGGAUGGAGAAAUUCGUGAGGUUACUGUGAAGAUUAACCAAGAAAGGAAGGCAAGUGGUAAAGAAGCUUCAAUUGAACAUCUAUUGGGCAUUACAGUUAGUACAUUAUCUGAUGGCAACCGUGUGAUGGUAGCCGGUUUUGCACCUGAUGCUGAAGCUGCAAAGCAAAAGAGUAUUAAAAUUGGAGAUUGGCUUAAAUGUAUUGAUGACUUUGAGAUCAGUUUUCAUAAUUUGAAUGAGGUUUUGCAGCAGUUUACCACUAAGAAUCAGGUGGUAUUAAAACUACAACGUGUAGCAGGUGUUGAUGUUACAAAGAAUCCUCCUAUUAAUGAAUUAAGUAAUCAAUCAAACUUUGUUCAUGAACUACUUAAUGUUAAUUCCGAGGAUGACUUAUCUCUAAGUGAAAUGCUGUGUGAAUAUCCCAUUGGAAUUGUUUAUAUCAAUACAGAUAAUUUAAGUGAAUCUGGCCCCGAGUUUGAAGGCAUUGUGUACGGUUAUCCACACCCCUAUGAAAAGAAUUGGUUGUGUAACUGUAGGGGUGUCUUUAUCACCUUGAAUCAUCUAUUACACGAUUUAACACAUUCUUCAGUACACACUAGUUCAAUGCUAUGCAAUAACAAAUUAACUCACAUAGGGUAUAAAAGGUUUGGCAGUAAGUUGUUCUUAUUAAUGCUUCCUGAUAAUUGUGCAAACAUAAAGGAGAUAUGCCUGAUUAGAGAUGAGUUACUACGGAUGUUAGAAUUUAUGUUUCAAAGUAUAGAUCACUGUUUUGAAGCUGGAGAGUUUCGAAACCAACUGGACCACUUUUUUGCACGUUUCUUUGUGAGAGUAUUGGCUGGCGACUGGCAUAAGAUGAACCAAAAGGACACGUUGCUCAAUUUAAAUGAUUCGAACGAGUGUUCCGUUUUCAAAUUUGAAAGUGUGUUACCAGUUGCGGCACACUUGCCAUUACCUGAAGAAGCACAGUUACAAAUUGACGAUGCGCUUACGGAGUUGGAAGCAAGCGAUUAUCGCGAAUGGAAUGAAGAUCCACUUGACUGUCGACGUCUGUUCACUAUAAUUGGUAGUGCAUUGUACCACUCGGGGCAUUUAUUAAGUUCUCAUUUUGUUCAUGGGGAUUUAAUUGAUGUUCAUAUGUUUUGCAGACAACAAGGUUUAUUUCAUUUGUCACGGACUGAACCUGUACGUUCUUUGGUGCUGUGGCGUGAAGUAUAUCCAGUUUCAUGUAAUCCUGGAGUACCAUCUGAAGUAAACUUUAUACCAGAAGGCAGAAGAUAUCUCCUGGUUGUGGGUAGUGGGAAAGAUCUAUUGGCGGUGAUCAUGGAAGCUGGCGGUUGCACAGAGCCUGCAGAGGACAACAUGGGACCUGAUGCAUUUUAUGUCGAAGAAGUCCAAGCGACCUUAGCCCAUUUACAGGACAUUGGUAUUUCAAACCUUGCAAGCCGGUGGAUAAAUGAAAAUUUCGGAUCUCAUGUAAUCGCACCCGAGUUUCCAAUUAAACGCAAGACCGAUUUCUUAAGUAACAUUUCAUUUGUCAAAUCAAACUUGUCGAGUUCACCGAAGGAUAUUGGAACACAAGUUCAGAAAAAGCCAGAAAUUACGUCGAUAUUAAAACGCCGCAGUUCUGAUCAUGGUCCAUUGUUUUCUUCGAGUUUAGCAUCUCUCGUUGAUGAUAAUGUCGAAAUUCAAUCUGAGGAUUCUUCUAGCCAAGGCGGUUAUAGUGAUAAAGGAGAUGUAAGUGAUGAACCUGUACUGGGAAGGCGGGCCAUACGUGAGAAGAAGAAUAUGGAAUGUUACGAUGAUGAGUCUGAUAUUGAAGAUUAUCGGGAUGGCAGCCAGAGUAACAGCAGUUAUGAUCUUUCUGAACUACGCCAGGCCUUGCUUGUGGAUAUGGCGGACAAGAGACCAGAUCGCUUAACUUUUGGGAACGAGAAUGUUUUGUAUCACUAUGUGCAGUUAGAUGAGAAGGAGGGAAUUCUUUUAUGUCCAUCAGAUGCCCAAGUCUACUCCACUGCACUGGACAUUAUUUUGAAUUCAUUCCGAAAAUGCGCGCAGGGUAUUCACGAUAUAUUUCAAAACACAUUGCGGCUAAAAGAAAUGCUUGCACAGGAUGUUACGAAAUGGGUUUUUAACAAAAGUCUUGUGGCAGUAAAAGAGUAUGGAACGCUUUUUGAAUGCAGUUUGGCUGAUGAUGCUAACAAAAAAUAUGAUAAAUUAACUUUUUGGGUUAUCGGGUAAGAUGUUACACACUUUUAUGGUGGUUUCUAUCUGCUUGCUUUCCCUAUCACGGAGAUUUUUGGUGUCGUAGUGUGCAUCUUGGUUAUUUUUAAGAAGGUUGUACUACAUUCCACAUCCACGCGAAGUUUACGUGUGUUAUCAAGAUUCUAUACCACAAAAUAUUGUUGAAAUUUCGUUUAAGUUGGGAACAAUGACAGCAUAAUGUGUUUUAAGUUUAAUCAAAGAGUAUUAAAUAUAUUAUGCUCGCCAGGAGAGAAUGCCGGUUUACAACUAUAUGGUUUAAUAUGAGAUGGCGACAGCUGUCAUUUAUUUUCAUAGACAUAUUAAUAUAUUUUGAAAUUGCAAAAUGUCAAAUAAAUUUAAUGCUCGCCAGGACAGGAGAGAAUGCCAGUCACAUAACAUCUGAUGCUGAUUUACAAUCGUAUGGUUUGACAUGAAAAACAUACGAUUGUAGACCGGCAUCAGGUGUUCUGUGACCGGCAUUCCUUCUUGGCGAGCAUAAUAUAGGUAUAAGGAAAAACUAUUUUAGUCAAAUGAGAGUUCAAGUUCAUACAGUUUACAAAACGUAUUGGUUUACGUUUAUGUCUUUUCUCUUUCUACCACAGUAUCUUAUUCACUGUUUAUUCGAUGUACUGUGUCUCAUGUGACUUCAUUCACCUCAUUGUAAACGUUUUGGAUAGCUAGGUUCCUAUAGUUCAAUUGUGUCAUAGAGGCAUUCUCCCCUGGCGAGCAUAAUAAAGAGAUUCAAUGCAUCAGUGGCGGGCCUAGACAAAAACAUUUGCCAACUCACUGUAAAAAUUUCCAGCUCAAACAGGUAUUAGGUAUUUAAUAAGUGGUAGUACUUAGUAUUAAAUAAAUAAUUUGAAAACUUAACACUUUUCUUACAAAGUGUGAAAACUGAUAUACAAAAAGAGUAACAAAAAGUUAUUGCACAAGAAGAAUUCUCCAGUGUUUUUGAAGAGCGCCAAUUUUCUAAGCGCAUUUUCCAACGAAUAUGAGUGCGAUAGUGCAGCCACUUUCUCAGACGGGCUGUCCGGGGUUUUAAGUAUAUAUUUAGCUCGUUUCUCUUUUUUAUUAUUGGGUAGCGUAUAUAACUCUGGCACCUGAGCCAAGAAAAAUCUUGACAAUGAAGUUGCACAUGCGCCACCUGUGCAUUGCCAACUUUCCUAUUUUUGUAGAUAUUUUUUAGAAUUUAUCUACAGAUGCUUCUAGGAACAUCGCACGUAUUAAAAAUGAGAUGUGUGAUGUGUAGACUGCGCAAUGUCAAUUUUUUCAUAUACAGAGAUAUUUUUUCAAAUUUUAAGCACAGGUGCUUCUACUAGUAAACGGAAACAUACGCAUAUAGUAACAAUUAAAUCUGCGCGUGCGCAGUCUGCUCAAAGUCAAUUUUCUUAUAUGUAUAGAUAUGAGUUUUUCAAAUAAUUUAUUUUACUGUUCCUAUGUUAUAGGUAAUUGAUUUCGUAUCUUUAAUACUGAUUCAUUAUCAGACCUUAACGUCGACUUGUCUUGCUGAGUAGUCCACGCAAACCGACGCGGACAUGCGGACGCGGGAGCGGUACGGAUGCGGGAAAUAAAAAAAACCUUUACAAAUAAUUGAAAAAGAUAGACUUGAACAAUUUUUUCAAUAAUUUGUAUUCUAUACCCUAUCAUAUUGUGAUCCCUAGUAUUGUGGUAUGUAGACUGGUGGCAGAUUGAGAUAGCGGUGCUUAUCAUUUUACUAUCCCAUCAGCACAAAAGACGUAUUUAUGCAACCACGCGAAAGAUAUCCCAUGCUGUCAGAUCAAGUAAUUCUGUAAGUAAAAACAUCUAUAAUUGGUCCAAUAUUGUACAUUUUUCUAGUGUAACUUUGUACUUUAUUAGACACCGCGCUUCUAUAAAUUCAGAAGGCAGAAUUUUGUCCGCAGAAGACAUAGUAUGCAUUACGAGCGCGCUAUUAGAACAAUGGGUGAUGGUAUUGUGUGAUUGUCAUUUACCUACGGCCUUGGCGUAGGCGUAAUCUGUACGUGCGACUGCUCUUUCUCGCCUUUAAAUUAAUAAUAUUCGCAAACAGUUCCUGAAAAAUCUUUUGAACUGCCAUAUUUUUACCACCCGUACGCAAUACGCAUUGGGGUAAAAAAUGUCCUCCCACUUUUUUGACGGAAAUACACGUUUUGAAGCACCAGGAAUGCGAAUCAAGCAAUGAUGCCAGUCUCUGUCUGUUGAUCCAUCUGUACUCUCAUUUCUGGGUAAACGGCUGAACCUAUUGGAACCAAAUUUGGUACACAUAUUCUUAGACAUAAAAGGAAGAGCUGAAAAGCUUUUGGGCAGAAUCGCCCAUGUGCAAGUGUGUCAAACUUCCAUUUCCGGCUAAACGGCUGAACCGAUUGGAACCAGAUUUGGUACACAUGUUCUUAGAUAUAAAAGGACAGAAUCGUAUAUGCACAGGUGUGCGGGCAAGCGCGUAGGUAAGGUGGUGGUUCACCACGGGGUUGGAAUCCGCGAUGGCGUCAACAACCGCUAUUUACGGAAACUGUGACAUUAAAAAAUAUACCCCCUGGCCCCUUGAUCAUGCAAAGGCACGCCACUUAUCACAAAUUAGACUGGUAGUCAACUUUUUAUAAUUGUGGAUAGGUGCCAUAAAAGAACUUGCAGAAAUUGUAGUGUACAAACAUUGGUACAAAUUAGGUACAAUUUAACAUUCCAUCUCUGCAAUAAGAGUGCGUAAUAUCUCAUAACUUCUUCUCAUAAUUUGAUCUAUUUAAAUAAGUAAAGGAAUGUGACGGUGUCAUGGCAGGGGUAAACCUAUUGAAUAAUCAGAUAGUAUCACAAUUCGACAGAGUGUGGCAGCACUUAUCAGUCACUUACAUAGAUAUAUAAAUACAUAGAUACAGCCAUACCCCAACAUAGUUCAAAAGGACGUACCAUCUAUUACCAUCACUUUCGACACAUUAAUUACGUAUAGCGCUAUCCUUUAUAGAGGUACA